rnacentral:snRNA from 1 species
GUCUCUUCGGAGACAUCCAACAAAAUAAGAAUGAUAUAGCGAAGAUAGGCAUGGCCUCUACGCAAGGAUGGUGUAAGUUCCCCCAUACCAGUUGAGGUCCAUU